rnacentral:rRNA from 1 species
UCACGGCUCCAGAUCGAACUGCGGCGGCAGGCCUACUUGCAUGAAGUCGAGGCGGAUGAAGGGAGCUUGCUCCUGGAUUCAGCGGCGGACGGGUGAGUAAAUGCCCUAGGAUCUGCCUGGUAGUGGGGAUAACGUCCGAAACGGCGCUGGCCACCGCAUACGUCCUGAGGGAGAAAGUGGGGAUCUUCGGACCUCACGCUAUGAGAGCCUAGGUCGGAUUAGCAUUGUGGGGUAAAGGCCUACCAAGGCGACGAUCCGUAACUGGUCUGGAAGGAUGAUCAGUCACACUGGAACUGAGACACGGUCCAGACUCCUACGGAGAGCAGCAGUGGGAAUAUGGACAAUGGGCGAAAGCCUGAUCCAGCCAUGCCGCGUGUGUGAAGAAGGUCUUGGUUCGGCAAAGCACUUGGUGGGAGGAAGGGCAGUAAGUUAAUACUCUGCUGCUGUUUGGCCAGUCCUGGCCCCGCUGCCAGCAGCCGCGGUAAUACAGAAGGUGCAAGCGUUAAUCAGGAAUUACUGGGCGUAAAGCGCGCAUAGGUGGUUCAGCAAGUUGGACGUGAAAUCCCGGGCUCAACCUGGAACUGCAUCCAAAACUACUGAGCUAGAGUACGGUGAGGGUAGGUGGAAUUUCCUGUGCGGUGAAAUAAAUGCGUAGAAAUGAAGGAACACCAGUGGCGAAGGCGACCACCUGGACUGAUACUGACACGCGCAGGAGCAAACAGGGAUACCCUGGUAGUCCACGCCGUAAACGCGAUGUCGACAGCCGUUGGAUCCUUGAGAUCCUUAGUGGCGCAGCUAACGCGAUAAGUCGACCGCCUGGGGAGUACGGCUUACAAUAACGUUCGACUCAAUGAAUUGGGGGCCCACAAGCGAGUGGAGCAUGGUUUAAUCGAAGCAACGCGAAGAACCUUACCUGGCCUUGACAUGCUGAGAACUUUCCAGAGAUGACUGGUGCCUCGGGAACUCGACACAGGUGCUGCGGCUGUCGUCAGCUCGUGUCGUGAGAUGCUGGGUUAGUCCCGUAACGAGCGCAACCCUUGUCCUAGUUACCAGCACCUCGUGGGCACCUAAGGAGACUGCCGGUGACAAACCGGAGGAAGGUGAGGAUGACGUCAAGUCAUCACGGUUCACGGCCAGGGCUACACACGUGCGCAAUGGUCGGUACAAGGGUUGCCAAGCCGCGAGGUGGAGGCUAAUCCCAUAAAACCGAUCGUAGUCCGGAUCGCAGUCUGCAACUCGACUGCGUGGAAGUCGGAAUCGCUAGUAAUCGUGAAUCAGAAUGUCACGGUGAAUACGUUCCCGGGCCAGCACACACCGCCCGUCACACCGCGGAGUGGUGCUCCAGAAGUAGCUAGUCUAACCGCAAGGGGACGGUUACCACGGGUGAUUCAUGACUGGGGUGAAGUCGGAACAAGGUAGCCGUAGAGACCUGCGGCUG